rnacentral:rRNA from 1 species
UACGUAGGGCGCAAGCGUUAUCCGGAAUUAUUGGGCGUAAAGAGCUCGUAGGCGGUCUGUCGCGUCGAAUGUGAAAACCCGGGGCUCAACUCCGGGCUUGCAUUCGAUACGGGCAGGCUAGAGUUCGGUAGGGGAGUCUGGAAUUCCUGGUGUAGCGGUGAAAUGCGCAGAUAUCAGGAGGAACACCGGUGGCGAAGGCGGGUCUCUGGGCCGAUACUGACGCUGAGGAGCGAAAGCGUGGGGAGCGAACAGG